rnacentral:rRNA from 1 species
AAAAAAGGUAAGCUACUAAGAGCGAAUGGUGGAUGCCUUGACUGGUAAAGGCGAUGAAGGACGUACUAGACUGCGAUAAGCUACGGGGAGCUGUCAAGAAGCUUUGAUCCGUAGAUUUCCGAAUGGGGCAACCCAAUGUAUAGAGAUAUACAUUACCUAUAUAGGAGCGAACGAGGGGAAUUGAAACAUCUUAGUACCCUCAGGAAAAGAAAUCAAUAGAGAUUGCGUCAGUAGCGGCGAGCGAAAGCGCAAGAGGGCAAACCCAGUGCUUGCACUGGGGGUUGUAGGACUGUAAUGUGCAAGAGGUAAGUUUAGCAGAACAUUCUGGAAAGUAUAACCAUAGAGGGUGAUAGUCCCGUAUGCGAAAAACAAACCUUAGCUAGCAGUAUCCUGAGUAGGGCGGGACACGAGGAAUCCUGUCUGAAUCCGGGUCGACCACGAUCCAACCCUAAAUACUAAUACCAGAUCGAUAGUGCACAAGUACCGUGAGGGAAAGGUGAAAAGAACUGAGGUGAUCAGAGUGAAAUAGAACCUGAAACCAUUUGCUUACAAUCAUUCAGAGCCUUAUGUAGCAAUACAGGGUGAUGGACUGCCUUUUGCAUAAUGAGCCUGCGAGUUGUGGUGUCUGGCAAGGUUAAGCAAACGCGAAGCCGUAGCGAAAGCGAGUCUGAAUAGGGCGCUUAGUCAGAUGCUGCAGACCCGAAACGAAGUGAUCUAUCCAUGAGCAAGUUGAAGCUAGUGUAAGAACUAGUGGAGGACUGAACCCAUAGGCGUUGAAAAGCCCCGGGAUGACUUGUGGAUAGGGGUGAAAGGCCAAUCAAACUUCGUGAUAGCUGGUUCUCUCCGAAAUAUAUUUAGGUAUAGCGUUGUGUCGUAAUAUAAGGGGGUAGAGCACUGAAUGGGCUAGGGCAUACACCAAUGUACCAAACCCUAUCAAACUCCGAAUACCUUAUAUGUAAUCACAGCAGUCAGGCGGCGAGUGAUAAAAUCCGUCGUCAAGAGGGAAACAACCCAGACUACCAGCUAAGGUCCCUAAAUCUUACUUAAGUGGAAAACGAUGUGAAGUUACUUAAACAACCAGGAGGUUGGCUUAGAAGCAGCCAUCCUUUAAAGAAAGCGUAAUAGCUCACUGGUCUAGUGAUUUUGCGCGGAAAAUAUAACGGGGCUAAAGUAAGUACCGAAGCUGUAGACUUAGUUUAC